CCCGGAAGUCUCGAUUCUUCUGAAGGCGUUCUCAAAUCCGUCGGUGUUCUGGCAGAUUCGAUGAUAUUUUUGCAGAUCCGGUGAUUCGUAUGGUGCCUAUAGACAUCUAGAGCUCUUGCAUGAGGGAGCUUAUCAGCGCGGCUGGCAAAACCGAAAGUGCUCAUGAAUCGAUUUCAACGAUCUAUCGCGGUUAAUGACCAUCCUGAAAGUGGAUACCGCCCUAAGCAAAGAAUGCCACGUAUGGAUUUCCUUGCCUUGCUAGUCAGCAAGUAGCGGUCAAUAGUGAUCAAAUGGCAUGGUCAACAGCUAUCCGUUGGAUAACCUGGUCAGAGUGACGAAACACCGGUCGAACCAGAUUAACACGGGGUCUGCUACAGUGUCUUGCGUCCCAUCACGAAACAUGAAUGUCAUCAUUAAUCCGCAAAAUUGGAUAUGAUUUUAAUUCUGCUCUCGAACUCGAUGCCAUAGAUAGCUAGAUUCGACAUCUUCGGUCAUAACAGCAGCGCCCUUGGCCACUUAUUUCUUAAUAAUCGAUUGCCGCAGUUAUAGAAGAAUCUGUUCUGACAGCAAGAAUAGCAACAGGAUCUAAAUUGACUCGCUAGUCGCCACCUGUAAUGUUUAUCGGAGAUCCUCCAUUCGCUAGACGGAAUUCGAGGACAACAGUGUUAACAAUAGAAAUCCUUCGAACACAUGGGAGCAUCUGAUGUAAAAAACGUUUCUUACUUUAUUACCUCUGUUUGUAUACUCAUGAUAGUGCUAUCUACCGUGAGAGAAGCUUUUUGCAAGCUGUUACGAUAACGAACUGAUUCGAAUUUCGGAGAUAAGCCUAAUACCGCUGAGGGCACCAGUUCUUAAAAUGCAUUUCAACUUGUUUUACUGCAUCUGUGCCGAAAAAAUAUACUCCCCAACGAGAUACAAGCAAGAACGAAGCGUUUUAUCAUUAUAUCAUAGCCAGUAGGUGGGUUGCGAUACACUUUUUGAACGACGAUAUGCAGGAUAAGCUCAACAAUCUCCUCUGUAGCGGGUCUCACUUCACCAUCAACGUCAUAAAGACCAAAGGAAUUAUGGAGCGAACACAAUACUACGUCAUCGUAGACUUCAACUUCAUCGCAUAUGGUCGGAUGUGUUCGACCCUGAAGAUCACAAACUUUCAAUAAAUCACAUGCAAGGACUGGUU